GGGAAGGGCUUUUUGGUUAGGUCACUGAGGGGUUUGGCCAGGGCACUAUACUCGCGGACAAAUUUCCGGUAAUACCCUGCCGUCCCAAAGAAAGCUAGCACUUGGGUUUUGGUGCGUGGUUGAGGCCAACUGGCAAUAGCCUCUACUUUGGCUGGUUCAGGCCGCUGUUUGCCUGAACCUACUCUAUGUCCGAGGUACAGGACCUUGGCCAUACCUACAUG